rnacentral:rRNA from 1 species
UACGGGGGGUGCAAGCGUUGUUCGGAAUUAUUGGGCGUAAAGCGCGUGUAGGCGGUUUGUUAAGUCUGUUGUGAAAGCCCUGGGCUCAACCCAGGAAGUGCACUGGAUACUGGCAGACUUGAAUACGGGAGAGGGUAGUGGAAUUCCUGGUGUAGGAGUGAAAUCCGUAGAUAUCAGGAGGAACACCGGUGGCGAAGGCGGCUACCUGGACCGAUAUUGACGCUGAGGCGCGAAAGCCAGGGGAGCAAACGGG